AGAACGAACGUUGGCGGCAUGGAUGAGGCAUGCAAGUCGCGGGAAUGCCCCGCAAGGGGUGGAACCGGCGUAAGGGGCAGUAAGGCGUAGGUACCUACCCCCAGGUCCGGGAUAGCCCGCCGAGAGGCGGGGUAAUACCGGAUGACCUCGGGAGAGCAAAGCUCCGGCGCCUGAGGCGGGGCCUACGUGAUAUUACCUGGUUGGCGGGGUAACGGCCCACCAAGGGGGAGAUGUCUAGCGGGUGUGAGAGCACGACCCGCGCCACUCGCACUGAGACACUGGCGAGACACCUACGGGUGGCUGCAGUCGAGGAUCUUCGGCAAUGGGGGCAACCCUGACCGAGCGAUGCCGCGUGGGCGACGAAGGUCUUCGGGUGUAAGCCUGUCGAGGGGAGAAGCCGCAAGGCGGAUCCAUCCCUGGAGGAAGCUCGGGCUAAGUUCGUGCCAGCAGCCGC
rnacentral:rRNA from 1 species